CGGAGAGUUUGAUCCUGGCUCAGAUUGAACGCUGGCGGCAGGCCUAACACAUGCAAGUCGAGCGGUAGAGAGAAGCUUGCUUCUCUUGAGAGCGGCGGACGGGUGAGUAAUGCCUAGGAAUCUGCCUGGUAGUGGGGGAUAACGUCCGGAAACGGACGCUAAUACCGCAUACGUCCUACGGGAGAAAGCAGGGGACCUUCGGGCCUUGCGCUAUCAGAUGAGCCUAGGUCGGAUUAGCUAGUUGGUGGGGUAAUGGCUCACCAAGGCGACGAUCCGUAACUGGUCUGAGAGGAUGAUCAGUCACACUGGAACUGAGACACGGUCCAGACUCCUACGGGAGGCAGCAGUGGGGAAUAUUGGACAAUGGGCGAAAGCCUGAUCCAGCCAUGCCGCGUGUGUGAAGAAGGUCUUCGGAUUGUAAAGCACUUUAAGUUGGGAGGAAGGGCAGUAAAUUAAUACUUUGCUGUUUUGACGUUACCGACAGAAUAAGCACCGGCUAACUCUGUGCCAGCAGCUGCGGUAAUACAGAGGGUGCAAGCGUUAAUCGGAAUUACUGGGCGUAAAGCGCGCGUAGGUGGUUCGUUAAGUUGGAUGUGAAAUCCCCGGGCUCAACCUGGGAACUGCAUUCAAAACUGACGAGCU
rnacentral:rRNA from 1 species